rnacentral:rRNA from 1 species
CGAACGGGUGAGUAACGCGUGAGGAACCUGCCUCAAAGAGGGGGACAACAGUUGGAAACGACUGCUAAUACCGCAUAAGCGCACAGUAUCGCAUGAUACAGUGUGAAAAACUCCGGUGGUACAAGAUGGACCCGCGUCUGAUUAGCUAGUUGGUAAGGUAACGGCUUACCAAGGCGACGAUCAGUAGCCGACCUGAGAGGGUGACCGGCCACAUUGGGACUGAGACACGGCCCAA